AUUGAACGCUGGCGGCAUGCUUUACACAUGCAAGUCGAACGGUAACAGGGUGCUUGCACCGCUGACGAGUGGCGAACGGGUGAGUAAUGCGUCGGAACGUGCCGAGUAGUGGGGGAUAACGCAUCGAAAGGUGUGCUAAUACCGCAUACGUACUGAGGUAGAAAGUGGGGGACCUUCGGGCCUCACGCUAUUCGAGCGGCCGAUAUCAGAUUAGCUAGUUGGUGGGGUAAAGGCCUACCAAGGCAACGAUCUGUAGUUGGUCUGAGAGGACGACCAGGCACACUGGGACUGAGACACGGCCCAGACUCCUACGGGAGGCAGCAGUGGGGAAUUUUGGACAAUGGGCGCAAGCCUGAUCCAGCAAUGCCGCGUGCAGGAAGAAGGCCUUCGGGUUGUAAACUGCUUUUGUCAGGGAAGAAAUCCUCUAGGUUAAUACCCUUGGGGGGAUGACGGUACCUGAAGAAUAAGCACCGGCUAACUACGUGCCAGCCGCCGCCGUAACAC
rnacentral:rRNA from 1 species